rnacentral:misc_RNA from 1 species
AAGUCGUAACAAGGUUUCCGUAGGUGAACCUGCGGAAGGAUCAUUAACACGUAUCCACGUAUCAACCAAUGAGAACCUGUUUUCCCGUCUCCCUGUGCAAAGAAUGAAUUGGAACCAGUUUGAGGGAGUGAUGGGACCGAAAGGUCGGCCUUCCUGGUAUACUUAUGUAGACAGAAAUGUUUGCAUAGACAAUUGAAUUUUUGUUACAGGCUAUUUCUUAUCGCUUUGAUGCCCAUCAUCAUCGUGGCGGUAGGGAAACUUUCACUAAAUUUACCUUUUUUGCUAGUUGACUUUUUAUAUGUGUUGUCUUGCGAAAGCAUGGUGGCACACGUUUAUUAAUUGAACGUUAAAAAAUACAACUCUUAGCAAUGGAUAUCUUGGUUCUC